rnacentral:lncRNA from 1 species
UUUGGCUCUCCUCCAUGACCAACAACCACAACCCCAAAAUCCCAAGUCCAGGAAACCCCCACUGUCCCAAAUUGGAUUUUUCUCAGAUCUCCUCCAUGGCAUGAAUGAAAAUCAUGAACCCCAAAAACCCAACUCCAAGAAACCCCCAUUGUCCCAAAUUGGAUUUUUCUCAGAUCUCCUCCACUCCAUGAGGGAAAAAUCCAAGUCCAGCAAACCCCUGUUAUCUCCAAAUUGGAUUUUUUCAGCUCUAUUCCAUGGCAUGAAUGAAAAUUAUGAACCCCAAAAACCCAACUCCAGGAAAACUCCCACUGUCCUAAAUUGGAUUUUUCUCAGAUCUCCUCCACGGGAUGAGCAAAAAACCCAAGUCCAGGAAACCCCCAGUGUCCCAAGUUGGAUUAUUUUGGAUCUCUUCCAUGUCAUGAGCAAAAACCCCAACUCCACAAAACUCCCCUCCAUCCCAAGGUGGAUUUUUUUCAGAUCUGCUCCUGGCCAUGAGUGAAAAUCACAAACCCUAAAAACCCAGGAAAACUCUGCCAUCCCAAAAUGGAUUUUUCUCAGAUUUCCUCCAUGAGCAGAAAUCACAACCCCAAAAAUCCCAACUCCAGAAAACUCCCAUUGUCCUAAAUUGGAUUUUUCUCAGAUUUCCUCCACUCCAUGAGGNGACCCCCCAAUUCCGGCUCUUUUAGGGUGGGGACCCCCCAGUUUCAGUCCCAGUUCUUUUUAGGGUGGGACCCCCAAAUCCCAAUCCUGGCUCAUUUAGGGGUGGGGACCCCCCAAUCCCAUCACUUUUUAGGGUGGGACCCCCCAAUCCCAGACCCAUCUCUUUCUGGGGUGGGGACCCCCCAAUCCCAGCUCUUUUAGGGUGGGGACCCCCCAGUUUCAGUCCCAUCACUUUUUGGGGUGGGGACCCCCAAUUCCAGCCCUUUUUAGGGUGGGAUCCCCCAAUCCCAGCUCUUUUUGGGGUGGGACCCCCCAAUUCCAGCUCUUUUAGGGUGGGACCCCCCAGUUUCAGUCCCAGCUCUUUUUGGGGUGGGGACCCCCCAAACCCAGCCCUUUUUAGGGUGGGACCCCCCAAUCCCAGCUCUUUUUAGGGUGGGACCCCCCAAUCCCAAUCCUGGCUCUUUUUGGGGUGGGACCCCCCAAUCCCAGCCCCAUCUCUUUUUGGGGUGGGGACCCCCCAAUCCCAGCUCUUUUUGGGGUGGGGACCCCCCAAUCCCAGACCCAUCUCUUUCUGGGGUGGGGACCCCCC